GCUGAACAAUCAAUAGGCAGAAAGCAAGAUAGAGGCUUCCUCAGCUUUUGGAUCGACAAUCGACAGCUGAGAGACUAUUUUUUGCUAUGGUUGACUAAAUAUGGUCAGGGAAGAGACAGGCACAAGAGAGCCUGUUUGCCUGGGAGUGCAUGUUUCAAAUGCUUAGCUGCCUAUAAAGCUGUAACAGUUUAGCCUGUGACCACUGAGGGAAGAUUUAAGUUAACCUCUGUAGUGACCAUGUGGAAAUCCUGACCUUGCUUGCAGACUUGACCUCUGGAUAUGACAAGGUAGCUUCAAUACAGAUUUACCAUUUAAUCCUGGAAACUAAAAACCAAAAAAAAAUUUCACAGCAAGAAAGAUGCAGCAGAAUUAUUUCCUGAGAAGUCGGAAGAAUCCAAUUUAUUCUGGUGGGCAAAGGAAAAUAGUGUGAAUGUUUAUAGUUACUUGGGAGGAGUAAGGUGUGUGUUAUUUCUUUGGCUUUUUGGCUUUUUGAAAUUAUAAAUUAACUUGCUCUGCAACUUUUCCCCCUCUUCCGAAGCAUUUCAUCUGAGAAAUAAGCGAGGUAGCAAUCUUCCUUGUUUGCUUAACUUUCUGUACAGCAGACACAAGGUACGCGUAUCUGUGCAAUACUGGUAAUAUAACAUUCCAAAUCAAAUAGCCAAUGUUGAUUCAAUUUUACUGUGUUUUUUUUUUUUUCUUUGUAAGGGUAAGGGAAGGGAGAGGUAAAAGCUGGCUGAUUUAUUUUUGUUCAUUUGUUUUUCAAAUUUAUCUUAAAAGGAGAGACUCUGUUCACUGACUUCCCCCUUACUUCACCUCACCGGCUCAUGAAAAGAAGUGCUGAAUCAGCAGAUAGAGUGAAGGAACAAUCAAGAUGAGAUGGCUGCUGCUGAUGUGACUCUCUAGGUCCUUAUCUCUCUUCCUGCUGCAAAUGCUGCAUGACACUAAGUUUACAGGAUCUAGAAGCAAACUACAAAAUAAGAAGAAAUUCAUCCUGAAAACUGAAGAAAAAC